AUACCAUGCUAUGUCGAAGCAGCCAAUCGGAGAGGCCUGGCGCCUUUAAGGGCCUCCGUGGGCACGUUCUCGCUUCCAUUCGGUCCUCCUUUUGUUAACGCUCUGGCAUCAUGUCUACGCCAGCUCCCGCGCAAUCCGGCGCCAUCGCGCUUUGGGCGAGCAUGGCCAUGGGGAGUAGAGAGGUGGAAACCGAGCUGACGCCUGCCUGACCCUGGCGAUGGUGGCGCGCGCCGGGAAGGACUGAUUGGAGAAUGGCGCCAAAUGGGUCACGGAUGGCGAGGGGGCACAGGAGCUCUCGAUGUGACCUGGCGCUGUGGAUGUGAUGCACAGCAGCUUGAGUGGGACUGCUCCGCUGUCCUCAUGAGAGAACGCUUUUUCUGAAGAUGGGAGGUGGCUAAUGAAAGAAGGAAUUGUGUUCUCGGUGAUGCCUGGAAGAGAUGCGUGACGUUGGAAGAUGAUUACGAAAUACAGGAAAGGAAUGAAAUCAAAGGAUGUUUUUUGUAAGAGUAACACUUACAGAAAUAUUCAUUAAUUUGAAGAUUUAUAUAAGGCCUGGUGACCUCCGUUAAUUCCUGGGACCCACAGUGUGGAAGAAGAGACCUGACUCCUGAAAGUUGUCUUCUGACCACAUAUACACAAUAUGUAAAUAAAUGUAAUUAAAAAAUCAAAAUAGUAAAACUGAAACAUUAGAAUGUUGUGUUUUAUUGAAAUGUAAACAUGGUGCAAAGGAUUAUGGAACAAUGCUGGAUGCUUUGUGACAGGUUUUUUUGUUUUUUGUUUUUUUUUUUUUUUCGAGACAGGGUUUCUCUGUGUAGCCCUGGCUGUCCUCGAACUCAGAAAUCCGCCUGCCUCUGCCUCCCAAGUGCUGGGAUUAAAGGCGUGCGCCACUACGCCCAGCUGUUUGUGACAGUUUUGUUCAAAACUUUAUCAUGGUUUGGGGAUCAAAAUUGUGAUCAAAGGGAUCAAAAUUGUGAAAAGAAUUAAAGUCUUUGUAAACCUUUUC
rnacentral:lncRNA from 1 species